AUUAGCUCAUGGUGUUUUAAGUUAGUGUUCUCUGUGAAUUCUUUUUGACAAAUUUUACAUUUGAAUGGCUUUAUACCAGAAUGUAUUCGCUCGUGCCUUUCUAAGUCAUGGGACCGAUAAAACCCUUUCAGACAAACUUUACAUUGAAAUGGCAUUUCACCAGAAUGUUUUUUAUUAUGCAUAAUUAAGUUAGAUGGAUCAUUGAAUUCUUUCUGACAAAUUUUAC